rnacentral:rRNA from 1 species
CAAUAGCGUAUAUUAAUGUUGUUGCAGUUAAAAAGCUCGUAGUUGGAUUUCUGGUGGGAGCGGCCGGUCCGCCGUAAGGUGUGUACUUGGUUGUCUCCUGUCAUCCUUGUGGGAACUGCUCUGGCAUUAAGUUGUCGGGGUUAGGGAACACAUCGUUUACUGUGAAAAAAUUAGAGUGUUUAAAGCAGGCUUAUGCCGUUGAAUACAUUAGCAUGGAAUAAUAAGAUAGGACUUUGGCGUCUAUUUUGUUGGUUUGCACACCAAGGUAAUGAUUAAUAGGGAUAGUUGGGGGUAUUCGUAUUUAAUUGUCAGAGGUGAAAUUCUUGGAUUUAUGAAAGACGAACUUCUGCGAAAGCAUCUACCAAAGAUGUUUUCAUUAA